rnacentral:rRNA from 1 species
UACGUAGGGGGCAAGCGUUAUCCGGAUUUACUGGGUGUAAAGGGAGCGUAGACGGUUGUAUAAGUCUGGAGUGAAAGCCCGGGGCCCAACCCCGGGACUGCUUUUGAAACUGUGUUGCUAGAUUGCAGGAGAGGUAAGUGGAAUUCCUAGUGUAGCGGUGAAAUGCGUAGAUAUUAGGAGGAACACCAGUGGCGAAGGCGGCUUACUGGACGAUGACUGACGCUGAGGCUCGAAAGCGUGGGGAGCAAACAGG